rnacentral:pre_miRNA from 1 species
AUGGUAAAUUGUUCACUCAGAUAGCAAUCUGCGUGAACAAUUUCCCAUGC